GACGAACGCUGGCGGCGUGCUUAACACAUGCAAGUCGAACGGAAAGGCCCUGCUUUUGUGGGGUGCUCGAGUGGCGAACGGGUGAGUAACACGUGAGUAACCUGCCCUUUACUUUGGGAUAACUUCAGGAAACUGGGGCUAAUACCGGAUAGGAGCUCCUGCUGCAUGGUGGGGGUUGGAAAGUUUCGGCGGUUGGGGAUGGACUCGCGGCUUAUCAGCUUGUUGGUGGGGUAGUGGCUUACCAAGGCUUUGACGGGUAGCCGGCCUGAGAGGGUGACCGGCCACAUUGGGACUGAGAUACGGCCCAGACUCCUACGGGAGGCAGCAGUGGGGAAUAUUGCACAAUGGGCGGAAGCCUGAUGCGGCAACGCCGCGUGCGGGAUGACGGCCUUCGGGUUGUAAACCGCUUUCGCCUGUGACGAAGCGUGAGUGACGGUAAUGGGUAAAGAAGCACCGGCUAACUACGUG
rnacentral:rRNA from 1 species